UACGAAGGGGGCUAGCGUUGCUCGGAAUCACUGGGCGUAAAGGGUGCGUAGGCGGUUUGGUAAGUCUGAUGUGAAAUCUAUGGGCUCAACUCAUAGUCUGCAUCGGAAACUGCCGGGCUUGAGUGUGGGAGAGGUGAGUGGAAUUCCCAGUUGUAGAGGUGAAAUUCGUAGAUAUUGGGGAAGAACACCGGUGGCGAAGGCGGCUCACUGGCUCAUUUCUGACGCUGCAGGCGCGAACAGCGUGGGGAUCAAACAGG
rnacentral:rRNA from 1 species